GCCGCAGGCUGCCCGCUGGAUCCUCCUGUCCCAAACCAGGGUUCCAGAGGCGGAGAUCGCACGCAGCUCUUCUGCCGCGCCGCCACCCCACCCCGACCCCACCCCGCGCCCUGCAGGCCCUCUUUCCCAAAUACCUCCCACGUGCCGGGUGCUGUUCUCUGCCGUUUAAGCGCGCCAAAGGCCCGGAACACCUUCGCCGCCGCGUGGUCCUGGGCCCCGAUCUCCUUUCCUCUGCCCUUGCACAGACAGACACGCAGCCUUUCCUAGCUCUGCCUUGAAAGGCUGUUGGUUUGCCAGAGGCCCCGCAGCCCGCGCGGUGACGGAAACAAUCCAGUAGCCGAUAAACAUGGGCGAAAGAGGUCUUCUCCCGGACCGCGUGAGGAAGACGUGGGAAACGAAAUACAGGAGAUGCUGCAAGGACUUGGAGGUAUGCAUAAGUGAUAUCCGCAGGGAAGAGGAAAGUUUUAGAUCCUACAGCUUUUACAGGUGGAAAUCUUAAUGAGUGGCCUGCAAGACUGAUUUUCAUGCCUUGUUCUCAUAUGUAGGAUAUUACACAAGUAUUUAGUGUGAUUCAACUUUGCCACUUUCUGUGCUGACCUUUUCCAUUGUUGAUCUGGAAGGGUAAAAAUGGUACUCACCAAGAGGAGGUAAGAGUGACGCCGUUAUUUUAUGCACGGGUACGUCAACGUACUCUGCGAGCGAGUGGACGGAGCAAACUUCGUACCUCCUUUGGUGUGCACAGAUUAGGUGGCAUAUCAGGUUUUUAUGUCAAAUUUAAUUUUUCUUAAUUUAGUUACUUUUCAUUACUUUCCAGUGCUCUGUUCUUUGGAGUAGCAGCACACACUGAAUCCUGCCAAAAUCAAUCAAUCAAACAAAACCAACCAAAAGAACAAACAAAAAAGCACCCUCUUUGUCGUCAUUUCUCAUUAAUAAACCGUAUAGCUGCAAACUAGAGAACUCCCGU
rnacentral:lncRNA from 12 species